rnacentral:rRNA from 1 species
UACGGGGGGGGCAAGCGUUGUUCGGAAUUACUGGGCGUAAGGGCUCGUAGGCGGCCAACUAAGUCAGACGUGAAAUCCCUCGGCUUAACCGGGGAACUGCGUCUGAUACUGGAUGGCUUGAGGUUGGGAGAGGGAUGCGGAAUUCCAGGUGUAGCGGUGAAAUGCGUAGAUAUCUGGAGGAACACCGGUGGCGAAGGCGGCAUCCUGGACCAAUUCUGACGCUGAGGAGCGAAAGCCAGGGGAGCAAACGGG